rnacentral:rRNA from 1 species
AUUGAACGCUGGCGGCAGGCUUAACACAUGCAAGUCGAGCGGAGAUGAGGUGCUUGCACCUUAUCUUAGCGGCGGACGGGUGAGUAAUGCUUAGGAAUCUGCCUAUUAGUGGGGGACAACAUUCCGAAAGGAAUGCUAAUACCGCAUACGCCCUACGGGGAAAAGCAGGGGAUCUUCGGACCUUGCGCUAAUAGAUGAGCCUAAGUCGGAUUAGCUAGUUGGUGGGGUAAAGGCCUACCAAGGCGACGAUCUGUAGCGGGUCUGAGAGGAUGAUCCUCCACACUGGGACUUGUACACGGCCCAGACUCCUACGGGAGGCAGCAGUGGGGAAUAUUGGACAAUGGGCGGAAGCCUGAUCCAGCCAUGCCGCGUGUGUGAAGAAGGCCUUUUGGUUGUAAAGCACUUUAAGCGAGGAGGAGGCUACCUGGAUUAAUACUCUAGGAUAGUGGACGUUACUCGCAGAAUAAGCACCGGCUAACUCUGUGCCAGCCGCCGCGGUAACAC